rnacentral:rRNA from 1 species
GGUGAACGCUAGCGAUAGGCUUAACACAUGCAAGUCGAGGGGCAGCAUAGAAUUAGUUUACUAAUUUUGAUGGCGACCGGCGGAUGGGUGAGUAACGCGUAUGCAAUCUACCUUUUACACAGGGAUAGCCCGGAGAAAUUCGGAUUAAUACUUGAUGAGAUAUUAGAACCGCAUGGUUUCGAUAUUAAAGAUUUAUUGGUAAAAGAUGAGCAUGCGUUCCAUUAGCUAGUUGGUAAGGUCACGGCUUACCAAGGCAACGAUGGAUAGGGGGAACUGAGAGGUUUACUCCCCCACACUGGGACUGAGACACGGCCCAGACUCCUACGGGAGCAGCAGUGAGGAAUAUUGGUCAAUGGGGCGAGAGCCUAAACCAGCCAAAUCGCGUGAAGGAUGACUGCCCUAGGGUUGUAAACUUCUUUUAUACAGGAAUAAAUGAUCAUACGUGUAUGAUUUUGCAUGUACUGUAUGAAUAAGCAUCGGCUAACUCCGUGCCA